ACAAGUUGACUUAGCACUCAUCCAUUAGAUCAUCAUGCUGUCAAAAGCCUAAAACUCAUGUUUGAAGCCUACACAUAGAGGAUUACAAAUGUAUCGAGAUAAGGAUCUUUUCUGAAUCUCACAAUUUUAAUGGCGUACCCUACAACAGCAUGGCUGUUGUUAUGGCUGUUUUUACUUCGGUUUAGAAGGCAAACCAGCUAAGAGAUAGAGUUUCAGAGACAUGAAGAGUGUGAAGUGACCUGCCAUGUGUAUGUUCAUGUACCAGAUCUGCUUGAUGAAAGUGAAAUGCCUUACUAAAUUCAUAACCCAUAUGAUAUAGCAUCAUCAGGAAAUGAUCUCAAUAUGGAGUUAUGCUGUUGGUUGCUGUGAAUUCCAUUUUUACGGUUAUAUCAUCAUGAACAUUCAGUUUUCUUAGAUAAGAGCACGCAGUUUCAUUAUGAAAUCGUGUGGUUCUGGCACGAAGAUUCUUGUGCCAAUGCUGACCUUGUCCAUGACAGAUGAGGGGCUUCCACCAACAUUCUUCGCCAUCCUUAUCUUCGCGACGCACGCUCAUCUAGCUUCCUUUCUAAACACAAUUUGUUUUACUUCACUGGCGAAUUGGCGAGUUUCUGGACCACUUCAUGAUCGCUUCCGUCCGCUGUUACACACCUGCAGUCAGUCACCACGGGAUUAUGCCCAGGCAAUACAGAGGAGACGUCGAGAAGAUGGAUUUUCUCAUCUUUAACAGUCGUCACCGGUCUCCGUCGGAUGUUGCCCCUGCUCCUGGUGCGAACGAAACUCGGUCGAAUCGCGACCGACACCGAGACCCGUCAUCAACGUGGAUCAUCGUAUUGUUGGUAUUAUGUCGUUUGUGUUAAGUGUUAGUUAACCCGUUGGUUGCCACG